rnacentral:rRNA from 3 species
AAACGACUCUCGGCAACGGA